AUCCUGCCAAUUCUCCAAAAGCUUCAGGCAAUUUAACUGUUGUUGAGGGAGACGCAGUAUUUGUAUCCAACCUCAAGAAGCAAGUUUGGGCAAACCUGUCCAAGCGGUAUCAGAGCGAGGACAUCAGGAACUUUCCUGAAGUGACAGCAGCCUUGGACCCACGCUUUAAGCAAAAGAUGGAAAACGGGGCCAGUGUCUGGGACCAGAUCAAGAGAGAGAUGACAGAAUCUGAGCAGUCAACCGAGGGUGCUUGUGGAGAGGAUGGUGAUGUGACAAAAAUGUGGUCAGAGAAAGAUGGACAGAGUGAAGAGGAGAAUCAACCACCUCCCAGCAAACAUCCUCGAAAGUCUCCUUUGGAGGAGCUUGUUGCUGAUCGCAGAAGAGGACCAUGUCCAUCCAGGACCAGGCAGAGAAGGAGCUGCAGAUGUAUCAGGAGACACCACCAACUUGUAUAUCUGAUGACUCUGCUGCCUGGUUGUGGAACCAGCGCAUGACCUAUCCCCUAUUGUCAGACAGGGCCUUUUCUUGUGUCCAAGACUCCUCUACACCUAGUGAACGGGUGUUCUUAACUGCCGGCGACACAAUCUGUGCUGACCGUUCACGCAUACUGCCUGAGAAGGCCGAUAUGCUAAUUUCUGAACAAGAACUGUUUUUAAUGUUGGGGGUAUUUAUACUGUAUGUUAGUCCAGAACAGGGUGUGAGUUUUGCAGAUAUGUUUUAAUAUUUGUCUUGGUCGCAGUUAUGCCUCAUCUUGCAGAGACGUUCCUUCUCUCAUAAAACACCCACAUAGGCUGCAGCUCCCAAAACUUUAAAUUAUAAGUGAAAAAUGUAAAUACAAAUUUCCUCUGUGAAAAGAGCAUGUGACCCGUUUCUACUCCACCCCUCAAAGAAUCGGAAUCGAGAAUCGAUAAGAAACGGAAUCGAAAGGAAGAAUCGGAAUUGGAAUCGUUAAAAUCAAAACGAUGCUCAACCCUAGUGGAGAGAAUGCGGUACAAAAGUAGUUUUGCUCUGUCGAAUCAAGGAGCACUGAUCCGACACUUGAGCCUUGUGUGUAUGAAUGUGUAUAAUGUAUCUUCACCGUAUUAUAAAUGACAACUUGAGAUUUGAAAUCAAAUCGCCGGGCAGCCAGUGUAAAUGAGACAAACCUAAUGUCAACAGCAUUAAUACUUCACAAAAACACAAGUUGCUGCGUCUUUGUCCAAAAAAAGCUUCUGUGCAGUCAACUACUGUGGUUGGGCUUUUCACUGAGGGAAUACAGCUAGUAUCAAAAGAGAGGAGAUCACAAUGCUGUAUUUCACACGUGCAUACAGGUUUGUGAUCAUCACUUGCAGCGUGGUUUCAGUGUACAUUACCGAGGCCUCGUGGGCUUUCUUAUGAUCAGACUUUUUUGCAGACUGGGUGAUGUCAGGAUUAAUGUUUUUGGAGAUGCGUGGUACCGGUUCCACCUUGUGCAUAUGGCUUUGCUUUUGUCCAGCUCCUCGCUUUCUUCAUAGAUUUUAAAUCCGGAAUGCAACCAGAUGUCUGUGGAGCAGCCCACACAUGCUGUUGUUUUGUCUCAUGUGGCCAGGGGCCUGUACUACAAGAAUUCAAUAUACCCAGAAUCUUCCUUAUCUGACUUCUCUAUCCAAACACCAACCGUCCUGACAACCUUUACUACUGAGCUGGAUAUAUCAGCUGUCUCAGUUAACCCUGGGUUUACAUAUCCAGCCACGAGUGCGUUGGAAGAGGCGGAGGCGUUAAUUACAAGCAACAUUGUCGGAACUAUGAAUGUAGUUUAUAAUAUAAUACGAAAAAGAAAUGCUGAUACCAGCAGGUUCAUUUGGUUAAAGUGACAUGAUCAAAUGACACUCAAAACAAUUUGGAUAUUGAGUCCGCAUAAUAAUCUACUGUAAAUUAGAACAAGCAUUUUAUCUACUUUACUAUUGAGUGAAUAUUUUUUCCCUUUUGUCUGACAGUGAUCAAACUAUGGUGAAUAGAAGCUGAAGUGAUGUCCCGGCUGCUAAAGCAGAGGAGAAUAAAUGAAUGUGUGAUGAGGUUAA